CCCGGAAGUGACGUCUCUGUCAUUUCAGGACUUACUGUGAAGGGUCCGGCUGCAGGUCGCAGACUUGGCCUUCCACGCCUCCUGCCUUUCACAGUCCGCCCCACAACCGGCCAGAGUCCGUAGAAAGAGAUGGAGAAGAGCUGCUGUACAGUUUUUCCAAUUCGAAAAAGAAAAGGAGCUGAAAACGUUUUCCGACACGGAACAAUAGCACAGCAGAACCAGUUCUCUUUAGAAUGACAUGCCAGCUUUGAGGAAGUGCUGGUGUAGAAUGUUACUUGAGAACUCCAGCAUCAAGGGGUUUAGGCUUUAUUGAGCCAUUAAAGAGAAGACAGAGUAAAGACUUGGCACUACAUCUUAAAUGAAAAAAAGUCUUGCUAUUCUGUUCCAUAGCACUGCGUUCUGCAGGUUUCAGGUCUUUUCUUUUAGAAGAAACGUCAGCCUCCCUUCUCCAACAUUCAGCACAGGGCACCGAUGAACAGCAACACAGAAUCCUUCAGCAUCUUACCAAGGCAGAGAAGUGGUGUGCUGAGAACAUUUCUGUGUUCAGGGGGCACAUCUCACUCCCUGCAUUACUGUCAAUGGAAAAAGACGACAUUGAGGAGGCCCUUCAGAAAUUUGAUUUGCUAGCUGAAUUUCCAGAAGAAGAGGAGAGGGAAUAUGUCCUUAGGCCCUUCAUCAACCUUUAUUUCACAUAUGGAAGACAUGCAUCUGUUUUUAGAUAACGUGAGAGGAAAAAGGAAAAUGACUGUGUUUUGUCAGAAAAUGUAACAAACAUA